UUAAUUGUUAGCUAAAGGUUCAGUCCGUGAGCAGGAACACCAAGGUUUUGAUACAAAGUAUCAAAACAAGGGCUGACGAGAUGGAAACGCUCCUGGAAUCCUGACAAGGAGUUUGUUGCAUCAGCAUCUCAGAGGAGGUAACGUAUGUGGGGAUCUUCCAUACACGGCGCCAUUUCCCUCCCUCACUCCCUCUUCCUCCUUCUUCUCUUCUGAAAAUUAAGUGCAUCAAGUUCUAACUUUUACACAGGCAGUUAAACGAGGCCUGGCCCACCUACCUUGGAGCGAGCCUAAACACCCUAAACACACCUGCACCGGGUGAGCGAUACAAUUUCAAAUGUUCAUAUGAUGCUCUCAGGAGACUCCAUGCUCCAACUCCUUUCUUUUUCCCAGAGACGCCCUAGAUCAGGGGCCAAAGGAUACUGAAGCAUUCCUUCCUUCCUUUCCAUAUCCGCCCUUCUUUUCUCCAACCUAGUCAGCAAGCAAUUUAGCUGCUUAGUUAAUGCAGAAAAGAUACAUAUAUAUUUCAUUUCUGGGACUGUUUUUGCAGAACCUGUUACAUUGUAUAUCUUCAGCAAAGCGCUGGAUCUUUAGAUCAAUAUUCAUUCAUGCCCAGUGCUCUUUACUAUGGGUCUUCCCAGAUCCCAGGGUAUUUUAAUGAUCAUUAAUCAAUUUACUCUCCUUUUUUUUUUUUUUUCUUCUCUCAAACACUUCCACAUCGGAGUUUGUCUGAUGACUCAUAAGGGCACCGUACCAAAGAUUAAGGAUUAAGUUUAAUAACUGUAAAUUUCAGAGAACUGAUUUUCAAGUGUGAUAAAAGUUGAAGCACUUUGGUGUUUACAAGAUACCAUACUUCUCUAAAUGUCACCUCCUAAGUUCUUCAAUCCCCUGUUCUGUUUUACAUGCGAGCAUUUCUCUGGCUGCUGAGCAUCUGGUCAGUAAUCGCCUUAACCUUACAAAGAAGUGGGUUCCGGCGGUGUUGGCCUCCCCUGCUCUCUGCAACGGUAAUGGUGGAAAUAGGCCCGGAAAAAUGAACAAUUCGCUUACGAGAAAGGAGAGAAACUUUACAGAACUGACUCUUAUUUGCUUGCCCCCCAAAAUAUAUUAUGGUAGUUAUAUUCUUUCUUUGACGGCUGGAUUUUGUUUAUGGUCAUCAAAUACACCCUUUGUUGUUGUUUUUUUUUUUUUUUUCUGAUCAUCCCCUCCCUGUCUCCAUGUUACUUCCAUCUUGUUUAUUCUUCACAAUAGUAUACUUUUGACUAGAAAGGAACACGUUUUUUUUCCACAACUCUCCAAAUCCUUCUCCCCAUCUAUGUUAAAGAUAAACUAAUAAGCCAUAAGAAAAAUGCACCAGACCACCUGGACAU